GAGAGAAAAUCGGCCGGGCCCGUCCCCUUCCUCCGCCGCCCCCGCCGCACUGCCCGGCGGAUGCUGCCGCUCCGGUGGACCAUAUUCCCACUUCUGAUGGAUUCCGGUCGUCCCUGCGCUCCUGUGGCACCCCCUCCCCCCUGCCGUCUCCGGUAGCUCACUGCCGGCAGCGGCCACCGCAUCGAUAGGUUUGAUUCGCAGGUACUCCAAUCAACUACAGAUUUGUGGAUCCUCCUACUAAUCAACUACUCGUGCAAGGAUUCUGAGCGCUCGGCGGCGAGGCGAAGAGCCUGAGUCUACUGAGCUCAGAGGAAUAAUCCAGAGGGGGCGCACCAUUGGCACGGUAAAAUUAACUCAAGAUAAGCAGCUUCAGAUUGUACUGCUUGGAAAAGAUACAGGGUAAUAAGAUGGACGCUCUCUUCAGACAGGGAAGUGUCGAGGUUCUUUCUUCCGCUCACGAUUUCCAUGACCACAACGCCAAAGCUAUAGACAUCGGCCUUCUCCGUGAUUUGUGAUGUCAACCAUUCAGGGGCUAGAUAACCAGGUGUUCAUUCCUGGUCUAAUCUGAUGUAUAUGCUCAUGCCGCGACAGCCAGAUCACCUGCAGCACUGGACCCUGGAGGGGCGCUGGGGCAGCAACGCGAAGGCUAUAAUCUGGGGUCGAGAUCACUAUGGAACAGGAUCAUGGGGGCCGGCGAGCGGAGCUGGUCAGCGGCAGCGGCAGCGGCAGCUGCGCCGAAGCAGCUCGAGGAUUGGAGGUCAACAAUGGCGGCAACUGUGAGGGGGGACAGGAUGUCUCGUGCAUUACUUUUGUGGUUGGGGUGUACAGUAGUCAUUUCAUUUUCAAUCCAGCUAUCUCGACUACAAGUUGUCAAGUAAGCCAAGCUUUUUGGAAGUGAAAAGAUUUGGAGGAAUAGAGGAGCUCAUCAAGGCCACAAAAGAAAGCAUGUUGUAGAUCACCAUUCAGCAGCCCAUUCGUUGAGGAUAAUUACUAAUUAGUCUCUCUUUGUGGCUAUUUUUGUCUCUCUC